rnacentral:rRNA from 1 species
AACGUCUGGGGAGGACUGCCGGUGAUAAACCGGAGGAAGGCGGGGAUGACGUCAAGUCCUCAUGGCCCUUACAUCCCGGGCUACACACGUGCUACAAUGGCAGGUACAGAGGGCUGCGAAGCCGCGAGGUGGAGCGAAUCCCAGAAAACCUGUCUCAGUCCGGAUUGAAGUCUGCAACUCGGCUUCAUGAAGGCGGAAUCGCUAGUAACCGCGAAUCAGCAGGUCGCGGUGAAUACGUUCCCGGGCCUU